UACGUAGGGGGCAAGCGUUGUCCAGAUUUAUUGGGCGUAAAGAGCGUGUAGGCGGCCACACAGGUCUGCUGUGAAAACUCGAGGCUCAACCUCGAGCUGUCGGUGGAAACCGUGUGGCUAGAGUCCGGAAGAGGAGAGUGGAAUUCCCGGUGUAGCGGUGAAAUGCGCAGAUAUCGGGAAGAACACCCGUGGCGAAGGCGGCUCUCUGGGACGGUACUGACGCUGAGACGCGAAAGCGUGGGGAGCGAACAGG
rnacentral:rRNA from 1 species